UACGGAGGGAGCUAGCGUUGUUCGGAAAUACUGGGCGUAAAGCGCACGUAGGCGGCUUUGCAAGUGACGGGUGAAAUCCCUCGGCUUAACCGAGGAACUGCCUGUCAAACUGCAUGGCUUGAGACCGGGAGAGGUGAGUGGAAUUCCCAGUGUAGCGGUGAAAUGCGUAGAUAUUGGGAGGAACACCAGUGGCGAAGGCGGCUCACUGGACCGGUACUGACGCGUGA
rnacentral:rRNA from 1 species